rnacentral:lncRNA from 1 species
CCCUUAUAGCGAAUUUCAAUUUAGGAUAUCGAUUUUCUACUUUCUGGCUCUUGGCUUGACUACCUCUACCGAGAAGCUCUCUCUCGCUUCAGGUUGCCUAAUCGAAUGAUUCUUUUUCUUCCGCCACUUUUGAAACGUAAGUCACCUGCACCAGGAACUUCUUUCUAUUAAGGAGAUAUCCUAAAUUGAAUCAACGCGCACGUUAACGGCCCCCUAUUCGCUCUUUUGAGAGUGUAAAUGCCUGGCUUGAUUUCAAAACCGAUCUGCCCUUUGAACGAAUUUGAAAUUCGCUAUGAUCACAUGAAAAAUCAAAC